rnacentral:lncRNA from 1 species
UGAACACUUCACAGCCCUCCAGGUGCCGAGCUGCUACACCUUGCCCCUGUCUUUCUCCUGAUCAAAUAAGUUAGUCUCUAUGGAAGUUAAUGAACUUGCAGAGAUGUGCUUGCUGUUUGGCGUAAAUAUAGGAGAAAUUUAUUGUUCUCAAUAAGACUGAGUUAAACUUGCAUUAAUUUUACUGAUUCCAAAGAGAAAAAAAAAAAAGAAAUUAGGAGUAAGAAUAUUUCUUGAAGAUAAAAGAAUCUGCACAGGGUAAGAAGUUCACUGCCUGGCUUGUGGGCAUGCACCCCUCAGCUUUGCUGCACACAGAGAAGACACCACUGCUACUCUGAAGGGAAAGAGGAUCCGAAUGAAGGGUGAAUGAGGAACCUCAGGUCCUGCUGUGAACACGUAAGCCGUGCUGCUGAUGCUCGUAAUUCCUGCGGAACACGUGGGCGGAUGCCUCUCUCAUUCAGCUAUGAUCGUCCUCUUCCUUUCCCAGACUCCCAUGAAAGCGUGAAAAGUGCAGUUAUUCAUGCACAAUAAGGCGUGAUCGUUAUCGUGAUUUGUUUCUGCAAAUGUUGUUAAAACAAGGCAAUAUCUGAAGCUCCACAAAAGCUGCGCCUUUCUCAUGCAAAGCGGAACAUUCCUGGCGAGUCGAAUGCUGUGUCAGAACUGGAGCUCAGGAUCAGUCAUGUUUAGCAUCAGACCAGCCAGAAUUCUGCUGAGUUGCCAGAGCUCUGCUGAACCGUCAGAGAAACCUGCUGGUUCUUCUCAGCAGGAUAUCUCCAGGAGUGUAUGCUGGACUGGACGUGUGGAUGAAGGCUGGAAUCACAAGGGCACAGUCCAGCAGUUGUCAUUACAAUUAGUUGGUGGACUCCACGGUGUCCUACCAAAGAAACUGAGUACUGGCUUCUGAAGAGUGACUUGUGGAGUAAAACAGCUGUGCUGAAAUAUGGAAAGUCAGGACGACUGAGUCCACGUCAGACAUGCAUGAACACAUCUGUGCAAGAUUCCCCCCGGAUGGGCAAACAUCAAUAUUCCUACGUCUGUGGCCAGAGGCAUGGAUGGGGCUGAGGGACCUGCCAACAGCUACCAGGGAAGGUCUCAGGCAGCUUCCUGGGAGAGGCUCUGCACCUUCAGAGUCCAGGCACGGACCAGCUUAUCCACCACAGUCUGGUUCUGGGAGAGCUCACAAAUGAAGUGCCUGUUUUUCUAGCUCCAGGCAUGAUAUCUGCCUAUAGCCAUACCCUCUCCCAUGCAAACAGACACACCACACUGCUGAGAGCGAAUGCCAGUGAGCCUUGAAAGGAGGCGGUAACUUUGAGAAGAUUGAUUGUUUUCUUGCCCAAAGAACUGCUGUUUCCCUAUAAUUUAGCUUUCAAGACUCUUAUUUCUACCUGGACCGAGUUUCAAGAAAAGCUUAGGUGAUGCAUAAAAUCAAGCCCUAGCUGCCUGAUUUAUAUUUUGAAAAUAAAACAGCUAGAGCAAGGAUGUUUUUUUUUUAG